rnacentral:lncRNA from 1 species
AUAAUGCAGCAGGGCCACCAGUCAGUUUCAGAUAAUGAUGUCAACCCCGGCCACCAAGAAGUAACCUUGUCUCCACUAGACAGAGCAGGUUGCAGGAAUUUAGCCAAUUCAGAGGUCUUGUUCUCCAUAAUUUGGAAUUUUCCUUCGGAUUUGAUCAAGUUGGAUAGAGUUGGUCAAACCCAAUGGGAAAAAGAUGAAAACAACAAGAAACAGAAACAAACAGCAACAACAACAACAACAAAAACAAUGCAUUUAAUUAAAUGAAGAUGAGCUCAUGCUGGAGUAGGGUGGACUCUGAACCCAGUGGGACAAGCGUCCUUAUUAAGAAGAGGGAAAUCUGGACACACACAGAGCAGAGACCGCCGUGUGAAGAUGGAGGCAGAGAUCGGAGAGAUGCUGCCACACGCCACAAAUGCCUGGGGCUCCCAGAAACUACACGGAGCCUCCCCCAGCGGCUUCAGCAGGAGCAUGGCUCGGCCAACACUUUGAUCUUGGUCUUCCAGCCUCCAGAACGUUUUCCUAAAAUUCCCUUUUCCACUGGUGUGUGGUGCAAGAUGAGGCACAUUUUCCAUGGAUGGUGAACAGAGGGAGGAGCCUUUUGAUCACAACCAGGUCACCCCACUUCUAAGCCACUGUGCCUCCAGCCCCACAAGACUAAGGAGAGAGAGCGCAGCGUGGUGGAGAGUGAGCUGUGCUGGGACCAUUGUUUCCGUAACCUCGUUUUCUGUGUCCAGCUGACACACCUUCAAAGUGGCAUCAGGUCCUAAACUGUAGCUUGCAAUGUGCCUGUUUCCAGAAACCAAGGUGAAAGUGCUUUUAGACAGUGUUCCCAUGCAAGAGUCCCUUCCCAGCUUUUUUCUGGAAAUGCAUGUUUCUCUGAACUCUGAGUCCCAAGAAAAAUCACUUGAGACACCAAGAAAAUGGGGGAAGUGCUAAAAUUGUGUGGGAAUUCAAGCUUAACAAUAAACAUCAAGACAUUUUUGAUAAAAAUGAAUCCACUGACAUCGGGGAGGAGCAAGAGAACAGCACGCUGACACUGGGUCAGAGGCUAAGACCGACAUUUCUGGGAACCACUCCCGGAAGGGCACAGAGGAGACGCUUUCAGCCUCUCAUCAGCCAGCCUGGCCUGUAGCUGCUGCACGUUAUGAGUGUGUUCCUGGCAUGACUGCUUCUAACAACUGGGUCUCGCUUGUUGCCCAGGCUGUAGUGCACUGGUGCAAUCAUGGCUCACUGCAGCCUUGACCUCCUGGAUCAAGGUAUCCUCCCACCUCUCAGCCUCCCAAGCAGCUGGGACUAUGGGUGCAUGCCACCACACCCAGCUAAUUUUUGUAUUUAUGGAGAUAUGGGUCUCACCAUGUUACCCAGGCUGGUCUUGAACUUCUGGGCUCAAGCCUUCUGCCUGCCCUGGCCUUCCAAAGCAUUGGAAUUACAGGCCUGAGCCACUGUGCUAGGCCAGAGCCAACAGGACUUACUGAGAAAUUAUCUGAGAGAGAGGGGUCAAGGAAGACUCCCCCUGUUCAACCAAGCAACGAGGUGAAUGGUGCUGCUGCUUCCUGAGAUGGGGAAGACUGUAGAGGAAACAAACCAGGAACGACAAAUCAGUAAUUUAGCUUUGAAUACAUUAGGUUUGAGAUGGCUAGUCUGUACCCAAACAGACCACACUGUGGCAUCUGGGCAGCAGGAUCUGCAGAAUCCAGCAGGAUGGAUGCUGAUGCCAAGCUGAGUAGACAGUUGGGUCUGUGAGUCUAAAGCUCAGGGAAGACCUCAGGGUCUGGGAUACAAAUCUGGAGAUCAUCACCCUGUCCAUGAAAGCCAAGGGAAUGAUGGAAGAUACUAUGAGAAAAAGUGAAGAGAGGAAAGAGAAGAGGUCCAUGGAAGGAGACCUGGGAGAAUCCAACCUUCGAUUAGAUCAGGAAGAGGAGAAGAAUCCAGUAAAAAACUCUGAGAAGUCUCUGGGAAGGAAGUCUUCCUUCCUUCCCCUGUACCAGGAGAGGUGCUAUCCCAGAAAUUAGUAAAGAAACAGUUUUUGAUGGGGAGAACAGGAUCACCUUUGUCAACUGCUGCUGCGAGACUUGGAAAAAUAAGGACUGGGAAGAGAGCAAUAGAAACUUUGAAAGCCAUUGGUUAUCUUGAUAAGAGUUGUUUCUGUGGGGGUGGUGAGAACUGGAGCCUGACUGGAUGGGUUCAAGAGAGAAUGGGGAGUUCUAGCCAAGAAGGCUGAUGAGGAUGAGUCAAAUUAAAAAUGUUUUCUUUUUAUGAGUCCUCUCAUAUUUACUGAUACAACUGAUAUAUUGGGUCUCCAUUCUGCCACAUUACUUUAUAUUGAUCAUGUAUUGUAUCUGCUAUGCAAUUGUAUUGCAUGUAUCUGCAUGGCAAUUGUAUUGCCAUGCAAUGUAUUUUUUUUUACUUUAAAAAUUAUAUUUAUAAAGGUUUGUAA